UCCUUUGAAUGGUUAGGCUCA
rnacentral:miRNA from 1 species